rnacentral:rRNA from 1 species
ACUCCUACGGGAGGCAGCAGUGGGGAAUAUUGCACAAUGGGCGCAAGCCUGAUGCAGCCAUGCCGCGUGUAUGAAGAAGGCCUUCGGGUUGUAAAGUACUUUCAGCAGUGAGGAAGGUGGUAUGUUAAUAGCGCCUCAUUUGACGUUAGCUGCAGAAGAAGCACUCGGCUAACUCCGUGCCAGCAGCCGCGGUAAUACGGAGGGUGCGAGCGUUAAUCGGAAUUACUGGGCGUAAAGCGCAUGCAGGUGGUUUGUUAAGUCAGAUGUGAAAGCCCGGGGCUCAACCUCGGAAUUGCAUUUGAAACUGGCAGACUAGAGUACUGUAGAGGGGGUGAGAA